rnacentral:rRNA from 1 species
GAUGAACGCUGGCGGCGUGCCUAAUACAUGCAAGUCGAGCGAACGGACGAGAAGCUUGCUUCUCUGAUGUUAGCGGCGGACGGGUGAGUAACACGUGGAUAACCUACCUAUAAGACUGGGAUAACUUCGGGAAACCGGAGCUAAUACCGGAUAAUAUUUUGAACCGCAUGGUUCAAAAGUGAAAGACGGUCUUGCUGUCACUUAUAGACGGAUCCGCGCUGCAUUAGCUAGUUGGUAAGGUAACGGCUUACCAAGGCAACGAUGCAUAGCCGACCUGAGAGGGUGAUCGGCCACACUGGAACUGAGACACGGUCCAGACUCCUACGGGAGGCGGCAGUAGGGAAUCUUCCGCAAUGGGCGAAAGCCUGACGGAGCAACGCCGCGUGAGUGAUGAAGGUCUUCGGAUCGUAAAACUCUGUUAUUAGGGAAGAACAUAUGUGUAAGUAACUGUGCACAUCUUGACGGUACCUAAUCAGAAAGCCACGGCUAACUACGUG